rnacentral:snRNA from 1 species
AUACUUACCUGGCAGGGGUGAUACAGUGAUCAUGAAGGUGUUUUUUCCAGGGCAAGGUUUAUCCACUGUACUCUGGAUGUGCUGAACCCUGUGAUUUCCCCAAAUUUGGGAAAUUCAACUGCAUAAUUUGUGGUAGUCGGGGCCUGUGUUCACUUUCUUCCUUU